GACGGACCUGACGAACGGUAUUCGGAAUCACUGGGCUUAAAGGGUGCGUAGGCGGCGCGGAAAGUUGGGUGUGAAAUCCCUCGGCUCAACCGAGGAACUGCGCCCAAAACUGCCGUGCUCGAGGGAGACAGAGGUGAGCGGAACUUAGGGUGGAGCGGUGAAAUGCGUUGAUAUCCUAAGGAACACCUGUGGCGAAAGCGGCUCACUGGGUCUCUUCUGACGCUGAGGCACGAAAGCUAGGGGAGCAAACGGG
rnacentral:rRNA from 1 species